UGGUAGAAGAAUUUGUCCUGGAAUUUCAUUUGCCAUCCAAGUUAUGCACUUGUCACUUGCAAGACUACUUCAUGAGUUUGAAAUUGGACGACCAUCUGAAGAGCCACUUAAUAUGGAAGAGAGUGUUGCCUUGAACAUCACCAAGAAAAUUCCACUUGAGGUUGUCCUAACUCCACGCCUUUCGCCUCAAAUUUAUAAAUGAUUUUUGUGAUAAAUUAUAUAUAUAUAUCACUAGUCAAGUUGCAUUUUUCUAAUGGGAGUGUCAAAGAUUUUAUAUUGUGGGAGUGGGGUAUCAAAUAUUUUAAAACUUGGUCGAUUUUAAUCAUUCAAAAUUUG
rnacentral:misc_RNA from 1 species